AUUGUUAUACAAAUCGCCAAGCGAAGGCAUCUCUCUCUACUUGUGUUUUGCUGUGGUGCUAAAUCUGUGCCCAAGGACCCCUGCUUGCCUUGCUUAUGCUUCGUAGCAGCUUCUAUGUAUGAAGUGUUUACCAUGCGUAAUGCAUGCGUAUAAUGAUUAUCCAAAUGCGUUGAGCAAAGUGCAGUUCUUUGCUGCCUCCAAGUUCAUCACCUGACUGGACUUCUGCAAUUUGAUUGGUCAAGACGGAAUUCCGUCUUGGCACAUAAAACGAUGACAAGAGUGCUCAGACGGUGGUUCCAAAAGAACGGCGGCUGAUUCAUGAGACUACACCUGGAACAGUGCAUGGGCACCAACGAUCGCUAUAUCUUCGUAAGAGAAAGACAGUCACAGCAGAAAGAUGAGUGGAUUAUAUCUUAUAUGUGCAUGUGUGCAUGUGUGCAUUGAACCAUUAUCAUUACAAGACACCGUUGGGGCAUAGACCUAAGAAUAGUCCCUUGGUCAAUUAUUAUGGCUACACAUAAAUGCCUAUGUUGCAUGCUUGUAAGGAAAGGUACCCACGUGGUGCUUAUACCAUGCGGUUUCAUUGAAAUUAUAUAUAUACAUCAUCUGUGGAUUUUGGCCCAAAAGGAAUCAAUUGUCUUGAUUGAUUUCCUUAAGAAUGCUCAAAGAUACGUGUACCGUAUACUAGGAGCCUAGAGAGAAGGAGUGGCUAACUACGGGGAUCACAUUUCGAACCCUGGUGAUCUGAGCAGUGCUGAGAUUGGUCAAUUCUCCCGACUGGACAUUGACCCCUCCACCAUCACCUGGAACAGGGUCAUGGAUACCAAUGAUCGCUAUCUCUGUAAGAUUACCAUCGGUCAGAGCAAGACUGAUCUGAAAGGUCACAGCAGAGAGGUGAGUGGAUUAUUAUGCCUCGGUGCGCAUGCGCAAGCGAGGUAUACGGUAGUAUAGUGUGUCUGUGUGUCUGUGUGUGUAGACUGCUACAGCUGCUCAAGGAUGAAUCAAGUGCAAGUAAGAGUUUCUAUAGGCUUCUAGUCAUGUUUACUUGGAUUUUAAUUCGUGGAUUUGCAAAAUAAUGCUUCGUUCUCGAGUUAUGCCUAGUUUUGCUUACUUGGAAUGCCAUUGCAGCCUUUUCAGAAGAGCACGUAGCCAAACUUGUUUACCGAGUGUUACUACUCUACUUAGUAGUUAGCUCUGCACUAGAACGCUAGCUAUUGGUAGCUGCAAGAGUGAGGAAGAGAGCUGCAAGGCUCUGUUGAUGGCAGCCAUUAAUUUUAGACUUGAACUUUUGGCAUCGAUCGUUUUUAACAACAAUCAUGGUCGAUCAUUACCCACUCUUUGAGUCUGCAUGGCAGCAAAAUAAUUAUUGCAAAAAUGUUCAUCAGUAUAAAAGCUAUUAGUAGCUUCAUGUUAUGUAUAGCUUUGGCAUCUCCACCGAGGCAUCAGCACCUGUGGUGCUUUCAUUUUAUCCAGCAUACCUUAAGUUUAUACACACACUGACAACCCACAGUUUAUCUUUCAGUAUACCCACCAUUAUCAAUACAGGAUACCCCAGGCACCACUUCAUAGUAUAGGGCAUGCAUGCACCCCUUUAAACCUAGCCUGGGUUCCCCUCUGCAGUGGCAGAUCCAGGGGGAGAUCCAAGGGAGCAAAGGAACCCCCCUCAGUUUGCUCAAAAUGGUUUUACAGUCAUUUACAGUCAUAUUCUACUGAUGUACUAAGGUCAAUACCUGCAUGCAGAACGAACAGAAGCUAGCUAAAACCAGUGGCAGCUUCUUCUUCUUUCUCAACUGGAUCGCUUCGCAAAUAAUUAUGCCGAAUAGCAGCAAAAUUGAGGGAAGCUCCUAGUUGGGCGUGGCCCCGACCAUCCCUGACAGGAGGAGGUCGUGUUUCAAGCCUAUCUGGGAUUUGUCUUUGCUGCAACUAUAGUUGCAGCCCAAUCAGAUUGCAGCAUUUCUAAUGUGGUCAGCGUCACGUCCGGUUGCGCAACUGCAAGCAAGGUAAAAUUGGUUAACACCCACGUCAGAAUAAGAAUAUUCAUAGCUGCUAUCAAAUAUUCAUAGCUGCUUAUCAGCGUGUUACAAUAAUCCAGCAAGACAAAUUCUGACAUAGGGUUGAAACCCGACGUCCCGUCAGGGACCGUCAGGCCACACCCAACUAGAAAACUCCCUGAACAGAGAUGGGGAUUUCCCAUAUCCAUGUGGUCCAUUCAGCCAGCACUCGACUCCUGGCCAGACUUAACCUUGAGACCAGGCCGAUUAAAACGUAUUUUAAUCGGCCUGGAUUCGAGGCUAGGCCAGACUAUAUAAACUUAGACUCUAUAUAGGAGGGAAGGAUUGGCAACGGAAGUGGUUCACGUGAUCAUUUUACAUGUGUUUCUGCAGUUUUGUAAUGAAACCAUCCGUGACUCGCCUGUUUUCCUGCCAGAAUGCCCGCGAAAAGCAGAAAAAGUCUGUUAUGGUCUUCCUUUAGUGCCUCAUGACCUCUCAUGGUGUUACACUGAUGUUGUGCUUUAUUUAGAGUUAGAUUAUCUUGCCAGUUUGUAAAACUAAAGAAACAAAGACUUUUUACUACAGAAAAACUACAAUUUUACAAGUCAUACUAUUAGAUCUUCAUCGUACUAUCAGUAUGCUGGAAGAAAUUUAUGAAGCUGAAGAAGGAAGAGUUGAUUGACUAUUUUGGGCUACAUAUUAAAAAACGAAAUGAAAGACUUUGUUACAUGCAAAAGACCUGUACAGUUGUAUAGCACCAACUCUACCUCAUGCAGUAGCAGCAGUAGCAGUUCAUUAUGCAGCUUAUUAUGGCAGUUUAUAUGACUUGUGAAAUGUUGAUAAUUUAUUAAAAUUUGGUAUUAAUAAAAUGUCGUACAGAA